CAGCCCAGACCUACAGCUAAGGUCCCCAAGUGAUAGUUAAGUGCAAAAGCAAGUCGGAAGUCCAAGACAACCAGGAGGUUGGCUUAGAAGCAGCCAUCCUUUAAAGAAAGCGUAAUAGCUCACUGGUCUAAAUAAGACUUCUGGCGGCGAAGAUGUAACGGGACUCAAACUAUCCACCGAAGCUUAGGGCGCAUUUAUGCGCGGUAGCGGAGCAUUCUGUAAGCCUGUGAAGGUUAACCGCGAGGUUGGCUGGAGGUAUCAGAAGUGAGAAUGCUGACAUGAGUAACGAGAAGAGUGUGAGAAACACUCUCGCCGAAAUCCUAAGGGUUCCUGUCCAAUGCUAAUCAGGGCAGGGUGAGCCGGCUCCUAAGGCGAGGCCGAAAGGCGUAGUCGAUGGGAAUCCAGUUAAUAUUCUGGAGCCAGUGGAUGUGUGACGGUGGCCGUAAAUCGUAUCUCCUUAUUGGAUUGGAGAUGCGGUGAAGGACAUCCAGGAAAUAGCCUCCACAUUAGACCGUAC
rnacentral:rRNA from 1 species